AACGCAUCUUGCGCUCCUUGGUAUUCCGAGGAGCAUGCCUGUUUGAGUGUCGUGAACCUUCUCAAUCCCUUCUCCCUCUUCUGGGGGGGUUGGGCUUGGACUUUGGACGUCUGCUGUGGGGAACUAGUCCUCUCCUAUCGGCUCGUCUUGAAAUGUAUUAGCUGUGAAACUUGUCAUUAGAACGGUGUGAUAAGAAUACGUUUCUGUAGCGUCGUCUCUAAAUAUCAAGGGUACUGCUUCUAAUCGUCCUUUGGACAAUUCAUGUCAUCUGACCUCAAAUCAGGUAGGACUACCCGCUGAACUUAA
rnacentral:misc_RNA from 1 species